AGCAUGCAUGAGAGUGUAUUCUAAAUUUGAACUUUGUACAAUUGCUAAGAAAUUGGUUAAACCUUGUUUUGGACUAAUUACUGGCAGAAAGUUCGUCGGUGUUUUGAAAAGUUUUUGAAGUGAUUUUCAGGAAAAUGAUAAUGCAGUUUUAAUUAAUGAUUAAUGUACUUUUUUGUUAGAUCAAAACAUUUUUGAAAAACUAUGCAUAUUUGAUAAAAUUUUCACCUGCUCUAAAUGGGCUAUACUGAUGAAUGAUGGCAAUGUUAAGAGUUUCGGUAUUUUAGUGUAAAGCGUUCUAUUGUUUAGAUAUUGUACCCACGUGUUUUAAAAUAUGGCUUUUUCAUAAAUAAACACUAUUUAGAAGAGUAUCAGUACCUUUGGCUGCGACAAAACAAAAUUAAAGUAAGCAGUGCCGAUCACAACCCGUCUCCUAUCGGACUUUGACAUUUAAAAAAUACCAAAUUUUGUGAUAAAUGUUAAAAUUAACCACAUGAAAAAUGAUGAGGAG
rnacentral:lncRNA from 1 species